UCCAGGGCAUUGCCGUUCAGGGCCACGGGAAAACCUGACUGCGCUCCCAGAAGCCUCCGGUGUACCUCGCUGGGAACGCACUUCCUGGGACGCUGAGAGGGAGACGCUCCAAGAGGCUCCUCAGUGUGGGCGAGUAAAAUGCCCUGCGUGUGAGAAGCAGGCUCAGAUUAUUGCUACUCUGUAUUCAGAUCUUCAUGUGUUUCUUCUAAGCUGAAUAAAGCUGUUUUGGAACUGUCAGGUACCUCAAAGGAUGAAGAAAACGAGGCACAGGGAAGUUCUGAAUCUGGCCCAAGGUCAGUGAGCUAGUAAGUGAGGAGAUGGGGAUUAGAAUUCCAGCAGCCUUGCUAAGAGUUGACUCUCAACCAUUCCCCUGUCCUGUACUGCUUCUUUCCCGACACCUUUGCUUUUUAUGAGCCACCUUCACCCCUGCUGCAUGAGCAUUUGAGGCUGAAUUUGUGGUGUUUGUAGCUAACUAAUGAUUGAUGAGUGGGCCCUUGCUGUGUGAGUGCCUGACACAUACAGAGUGCUUGAUGUAUACGUGUUGAAAGAACGAUUAUUGACAAAAAGAAGAUUGAAGGUGUGAUUGUAAGAGACUUUAACAUUAUCUUGGUUGUUUUUUUAAUUGUGAAGAAAAAUACCGAUGGCUAAAGAUUUUAGUUGCUCUAUGACCCAGUCAGUAAUAACCAAAUGUGUGUGCACCUGUGCUCUGAGGUCACACACACCU
rnacentral:sRNA from 1 species